rnacentral:rRNA from 1 species
UACGAAGGGGGCUAGCGUUGUUCGGAUUUACUGGGCGUAAAGCGCACGUAGGCGGAUCGAUCAGUCAGGGGUGAAAUCCCAGAGCUCAACUCUGGAACUGCCUUUGAUACUGUCGAUCUGGAGUAUGGAAGAGGUGAGUGGAAUUCCGAGUGUAGAGGUGAAAUUCGUAGAUAUCUGGAGGAACACCGGUGGCGAAGGCGGCAUCCUGGACCGGCAUUGACGUGAGGCGCGAAAGCU